AUCAAUCUCAUGUCAUAUUUUCAUAUUAAUUUAUUUUACAUUACACAACAAAUAAUCAAGACCAUUUGAUGCUUCCUUAUAUAAACACUCCAAAUCCAUCAAAUUCCAAUGGUACAAAAGCUCCAAAUCUCUUCUUUCUCUUAAACUCGCCUUAGCUUUUCUUACUUUUAAUUUCACCUGUGUGUUGAUGUUGCACAAAAACAAUAUUGUGAAUUAACAGUCUUAAACGCACACUACAUAUUAAGAUACAUAUAUUUCCCAUAAAACUCAUAAACCAGUCUGUUUAUAUUGAUGAACUCGAUCUUGUGGAGAUAAGCAAUUUCUAAAGUCGGAAGAAAAGAUUCAAUGGUUCAAGGAGAGUUUGGAUAUAGAAUCAUCAAGAAACAUUUAGCCUACCGCGUCAUUAUGCUAGAGAUACUAAAUGGUAAUAAAAAGAACACAAGAAGGUUCUACCAGUGUUUUCAGUUAUGCAUGAACAUUGUAAGUUGAUUGUUUAAUGGACCCGACGCUAAGGGGAGCUUGCAACGAAGAUUAUUUCAAUAGAUGCGCACAAGACGAUCCAAAAGAGUCAAACCGUUUUAGGAUGCAUCAAUCGCCCGACACAAAUUCUAGCCAGAAAGAAGUUUGCAAGUGAAGAAUAGUAUACUAUAUAUAGUGUUAGUGAAACCAUGUCUCUGUCUAGGUAGAUAGCAUGUUGUUUUUGCCUAGGUCUUUUGGAGUGGUUUUUCUCCAGCCUUGUACUUUUAUGAGCCUUGUUCUUUCUUUUAUCCUUUGUAAUUGGUCACAUACUCCUUGUA